GUAACAUAAUUAUCUGUAUUUUCCAAUGGUCCAAGGGUCAUUCAAUCCCAAAGGGGUUGCCACCCACAGGCUCAGAAUCCCUGCCCUAUUCUUUGGAAACAAAGUGAGACAAAAUGAAAACUUGAGUGGUUUUUCUUACUUGAUUUCAAAACCGGGUCACAAGGCAGCAGAGACGACUCAUGACAUCAGUGGCUGACCCAGCAACUCCUAGCCAAUGUAGUGUGGUGGCUUCCCAGCAAGCCUUGCGAAGGAGACAAGAGACUUGAAGAUGAAGGGCAUAGUGGCCAGCUGCUGGAGUUGACAGUGGCUGAUUGACAGCAACCAUCGAAGCCCAUUCUCUUCCAACUUGAGGGGAAGUUGUCAAUGGGCUCAACAUGGACCAUUCAAAGCCAUUGGGCAUUUGAGGCACAAAUUGGAGAGCUGGGGAAACUCAACAGUGGUUGCCUCAUGAGCUGACUGAAAAACCUGAAAAGCACAUUUUGGACUCUCAAUGUUACACACAGCAACAGACCACGCCUCUACUGGAUUGUGACGUUUGAGGACCAGCAGAUCUCAUUCAACAACCGGUGAUGACCCGUUAUGACAGAUCACUUUCAACAGCCAAGCCUGCUCCAGACAAAGGUCCCGGGCACUCUUUGGUGAUCUGCCACCCGUCUGGCGUGCUGACGUGCACUCAGUAGAAAAGACACACCCCAAACUGCAGCUCAUGUAGCGGCCGACAAGGGGCCAGUCCUUUCCCACAACAAUGCCUGAACACACACCACACAGCCAGCCCUCAAAGUUUCUCUCAUCUGCCACCUUCGCCCGAUCUCACCAACCUUCCAUCUCGUCUUAAGCAUCCGGACAACCUUUUUGCAGGGAGCAUGCUUCCAAAACCAGCAGGAUACAGAGAAGCUCUCUGAGAGUCCAUGGAACUCCAACUCGGGGAUUUGUAUGCUAUUUGGAUAAACAAACUUAGCUCUUGUUGGCAAAAACAUGUUGAUUGUAAUGGCUGCUAUUUUGAUUAAUGAAGGCGUGUUUGAGCCUAGUUAUAAUGAUUUAAAGCUCACGGUCUGAAGCUGAGAUUUCUUUUUCAACAAACUAAACACAUUGAAGAGAGGGGAUUGGAGGAGACUAGAGGAAACCAAUUAAGACGUUGCCACAGUAACCCCAAACAAGAGAUGGCAGCAGCUUCAGCUUGUAUGAGGGCUAGAACAGUAUGUAACGUUUCCUGGGGAGAAUAAAACAUCUCCUCACUUGUGUAGGGCAUCAGCGACAGACCCAAGAAAGAAUUCCACCCAAGCCUGAAGUCUAUGUACAAUUGUGUCCAGCUUAGCCAGACUCUACUCUCUCCAGCAACUGACUACAGCUUUUACAAUCUCAUGGAAGCAGGCCAGGUCAGAAAGAUGGCUUCUAAGCCCCACGACACAAAUUUAACUCUCCAGACCCCUAUGGUGGGGUAGAAGGAGAGAACCAAUCCCCUGGAGCUGCCCUCUGCCCUCUGCCCUCUGCCCUCUGCUCUUGAGCUGUGACACAUGUGCUUGCAAAACAAAUAAAAUGUUUUUAAAACCUUG